UACGAAGGGGGCUAGCGUUGUUCGGAAUCACUGGGCGUAAAGGGCGCGUAGGCGGCCGAUUAAGUCGGGGGUGAAAGCCUGUGGCUCAACCACAGAAUUGCCUUCGAUACUGGUUGGCUUGAGACCGGAAGAGGACAGCGGAACUGCGAGUGUAGAGGUGAAAUUCGUAGAUAUUCGCAAGAACACCAGUGGCGAAGGCGGCUGUCUGGUCCGGUUCUGACGCUGAGGCGCGAAAGCGUGGGGAGCAAACAGG
rnacentral:rRNA from 1 species